rnacentral:pre_miRNA from 1 species
AAAAUUUAGCGGGGAAAAUUUUCCGCUAAAUUUAGCGGGGAAAUGUUUCCGCUAAAUUUAGCGGAAAGAUUUCCCCGCUAAAUUUAGCGGAAAAAUUUCCCUGCUAAAUUUA